rnacentral:sRNA from 1 species
GCCGGGUGUGCUGGCGUGCGCCUGUAAUCCUAGCUACUCAGGAGGCUGAGGCAGGAGAAUCACUUGAACCUGGGAGGCGGAGGUUGCAGUGAGCAGAGAUCAUGCCACUGCACUCCAGCCUGAGUGACAAAGUGAGACUCCGUCUCAA